UACAUUGAGUGAAUGAUUUGU
rnacentral:piRNA from 1 species